rnacentral:tRNA from 1 species
AAAAAGAUAAGCUAACUAAGCUAUAGGGUUCAUACCCCUUCCAUAAAGGUCAAAUCCUUUUCUUUUUA